rnacentral:rRNA from 1 species
GCGAGGGGAGCCCUAGCACAGGUGCUGCAUGGCCGUCGUCAGCUCGUGCCGUGAGGUGUUGGGUUAAGUCCCGCAAACGAGCGCAACCCCUAUUGUUAGUUGCCAUCAUUCAGUUGGGCACUCUAGCGGGACUGCCGGCGUCAAGCCGGAGGAAGGUGGGGAUGACGUCAAGUCAUCAUGGCCCUUAUGUCCAGGGCUACACACGUGCUACAAUGGUCGGUACAAAGGGUUGCGAUCCCGCGAGGGUGAGCCAAUCCCAAAAAGCCGACCCCAGUACAGAUAGGAGUCUGCAACUCGACUCCUUGAAGGCGGAAUCGCUAGUAAUCGCUGAUCAGCUGGCAGCGGUGAAUACGUUCCCGGGCCUU